rnacentral:lncRNA from 1 species
CUGCUUAAGGGGAUGAUACUCUAUAAUUGAAAGGAGGACAAACACACCAAAUUUGCAUGAUAUCACCAAAGAAGGGGAUCAGAAGAAAGGUCAAUGUGAUAAUGUCGCAACCUAAAAAAUGGAAUGCGAAAAAACAACCGGCGAAGAAAGACAGGAGAGUCGCCACCGUGCGUUCUUUAUCCUAAAUGAGGGAAAGGAAACGCUCGAAGUAAACCUGGAAAAAGGAAAGAAAAAGAUGGGGUCUCG